AACGCACGAGACCUGCGGACCUGCGGAAGGAUCAUUACCGAGUUUACAAAACUCCCAAACCCUUUGUGAACCUUACCUAUCGUUGCUUCGGCGGGAACGCCCCGGCGCCCUCGCGGCCCGGAACCAGGCGCCCGCCGGAGGCCCCAAACCCUCAUGUCUUUAGUGGUUUCCUCCUCUGAGUGACAUAAACAAAUAAAGUAAAAACUUUCAGCAAUGGAUCUCUAGAUCGGAAGAGCACAC
rnacentral:misc_RNA from 1 species